GCUUCAAUAGUUCAGUUGGGAGAGCAUGAGACUCUUAAUGUCAAGGUUGUGGGUUUGAGCCCCAUGUUGGGCA